CACAGAUUAGUGUAAGAGCUAGAGCUUUAAAUGAUAAACUACGGAAUAUUUGGAGGGUUUGAAGACUAACUGCAAAAAUCUACUAGAUUGGUGGAGAAAAACAUAAAAUUACAGCCAGUAUGCAUAUAUACCUUACAUAUAAAUAUAUAUUCCACAAUUAUUCAGUAGGUGGCAGUUAAAAGCCUCAUUGAGCUUUGCCGUCGCCAUUUAGGCAGUAGCACUACCAGGGGUUGGAGUCAGUCCGUCCUUAAAAGCAGAGAGGCUGCGAUCAAGCCAACGAGAGCGUUAUCCACAGCCCAGGUACCGGGGAGAGAGUGGAGAGGAGCAGAGCCGCGGGAGGAGAGGGCAGGCAGCAGCCAACACAGGGCACAAGGGGACGUCGCAGGCUGCAGCCUCCCUUGAUUAAGGCAGGGGCUCCUUUCUGGUGGAAGAAACCCAGGGCAGAGAGGGAGAAGAGCUGGUGCAAUGACAGGCAGAAACUGAAGAACAUUUGAAGCUUUCUGCUCCCACACAGGAAUGAAAAAUUCCAAUUUAUAACCCUAUUGCUCACAGUGGCAACCUACCUGUUGGAAGGCAAACAUUCAACCUUGAACCCUCAGCCAAGAAGGGAAUCAGCAGUUCCUCCUGCAUCGUUCAUUUUUCUGUGGCAGUUUCACCUUCUUCAACAAGCAGUGCCACUUUAGUUAAACGUGGUUUCAGAAACUGGUAAAGAUUUUCUUACUGUGACAACUAUUCAUUCGAGAUUUUUCAUUUUAACAGGGGUUCCAUUUGAUGUAAGAAUUCAUAGGGGUUCAAACGAAAAGCUAUUUUGAAAAGCUAUUGUUUUGGGAAUGAGAUUUUCCGCGUUGGCGUGAUGACAAUACGACAGUUUGCUAAAGCAGAGCACAGCAUCUGUGACUGCAGACCAAUAUACAGGCUGUAUUCUACCUCCUUUACAUACAAAUAGUCUCCUUCCAUAAAUACAGAAAAACACUUGCAACAAAUUAUUCUUAAAGACUCCUAUUCUUGCUGUUUCUCUUCUGUGCUAGGCCAGGAGCAUGAAGGAAACCUCUCAGAGAACCCCUCUGAAAGACUUUGUAAAGCUGGUAUCUGAUACUUAGCUUGAAACCUACACCAUAUUUAUACUGUAGCAAACAUAUUUAUAAAGUUGUGAAAAACCUGUUCCAAAAUGCAAUAAGUAUUUUGGUCAAAAUAUAUUUAAAAAAAAAAAAAAAAGAAAGAAAAAGAAAGGAAAAAAAGAGCGAUUUUUAUUUUUCUUCUUUUUUUUUUCUUUUUUUUGGACACUUGAAAGCAAACACUGCUUAGUCCAAACUCCUCCAAAGCAGACAAUUUUUUGACAUUCUGGUCACCCAGAGCAGUUUUAGCUUUCUGCUCUGUCUCAGUCCAACCCAGUUUCUAAGUUAUGAAUUUUCUGUCCAAAUUCAAACAGUUUCAACACUGUAGAAAUCAUAGCUCUAAAAUGGAAACUGUUUCAGUUUAAAUAAGUUGAGUUUGUAGUCUGAAUUUUUGCUUUCUACGAAUACACUGAAUAAGAAGAAUGUCUGAUUUUGUCUCUUACUUUGAGAUGAUCAAGUAAAUAUCAUAUAAGGACAGUGUGUCAGGUAAACUCAGCAGAUUUAUGACACACAAGUUUUUGGUUUUUUCCUCAGAAGAUUCCAUUUUCUCUGUAACUCAGUCUGGUCACCUUCUUUCUGGCAGAUGAUAAAGAAUAUUAAGCUAUAAAUGCUUUUCUCUCCAGCUAUGGUCGAGAACAAGAUAAAUUAAAAGUGCUACCACAUUUAUGCAGUGAAAAAAAUCAUGAUUUACACUAGCUGAUCAAGAAGCAGACUUUCAAAGAACAUUUUGUUCAACAUGAGAAUAAAAAAGUUCUUUCCAUAUGGACUAGAGCCUCAUGUUGCAAGAAAGAGCCAUUUUAACAGUUAACAUUUGGUCUUCGAUUGUGUCCAAAUUUCCAUUGAUUUGAAAAGACCAAAGAAGCCAAGAAAAGAAAAAGAAUGAAAAAGUCAAUCUUGUAUUCAAAGUUGAAGAUACUGGAAGUAGAAAGUCCCCAUUCUUAAGUCCAUGUUCAUUAGCAGAUAUAGUGAAAAUACUCCCCAAGGAAUGCCUGCUUCUAUACAUAGAGUGCAACAAGCAAAACCUCCUUGCAGAGCUCUCUUUCUAUAUUUUAUAAAAAUAAUGUGACAUUUUUCACAUUUGAUAUGCUGAAAUGGACAUUAACGUUACAGACAUGUUGAAAUCCAUCUUAAUUAUAGGUACAUUCUUCAUCUUGUACCUUGUAUCUUUGUAUAGUGGUGCCAUUGCUGGAUAGCCUGGAAAGACUGCUAAUUUAAAUUGAGUCAAGAUUUUGAACUAAAAACAUUGCUUGUCCUCUGUUGAAUUUUCAUUACAAUAAUGACAAUAUAAACAGAGACGUCACCUUAGAGUUAGAACAAGCAGCCAAACAACCAAACAAAAAAACCAACAAAAACCACUGACUGACAUGAGAUGGUUUUACCUGAAGAAAAAGAGUUUUCAGGAAAUUAAUACCCAACAUCUGGAAAUUGCUGUAUAUCACACGAGACUGACAUCUCAGUAGGAUAUCAUAAAACCUCAAUAACUGAAUCAGUAAAGAUGUAAUCAAAGUCUCUGACUCCAGAAAGCAAUGAUGUUGUUUAUAAAAUGAAUGCUAUACUGAAAGAUACCAUCUAGUAAAAAAAUUACAAAUCUGUGACAUUUCAUGGUAGUCUAACGAUGCAAACGCGAUGAAAAUCUUUUGCAACAAAACCCAAGACUGGAAACACUGGAGAGUGAGUGAUAUUUUUUUUUGUACCUAUUUUCAAGUAUAACCUGAAGGAGUUCAUGAGCUGUGAGAUUCUCAUCUCAUGUUACUCUAAGUGUAGUUAUUCAGGUAGAUUAGUUUUUGGAAGAUAUUUUUCAGCCAUCCUAUGCCUUUUGCCUCUUAUUGUAUAUGUUAUCCAUAGCUUAAAUGCAAACAUAAAAGGCAAGUUAUAAAUACAAUUGAUAGAAGAAUUAGAACAGAAAAAAAAAAAAUUAAAAAUAACUCUGGAGAUCUAGUGGCUAAGUACAGGAUCAGUAACAUCGAUUUAGUAAAUUCUAAUACACCUACAUGUAAUUAGUCAGCCAAAGAACAUGAAGAGUUUGAACUACAAAGAACAUAAACUAUAAUGUGAAGUACUUUGUUUAAACAUUUUGAAUGCAUAUUUUUGUUACCACUAUAUAAUAAAAUACCUGAUUUUAUAUUAAAAUGACUCAGACCUUGAACCAGAGUUCUGUCAGAGCAGCCCUUCAGUUCUUUCACCUGGCAUGUCAGAAAUAAAUGGGGAAAGCAUGCAGACCAACACGAAGGUCUGCAGUUGAGUUUGAACUGGAGGCAGAGGUUUGUCCCUGAAAAUAGCCCAUUAAGUUCACCUGCAGUAGCUGAACUACAACAGCUCGAGCCUUGUGCUAACAGAGCCUCUGCAGAAAACAGCUGUCAGCAGAGGUGCAGACUCUGAUUUGCUGAACUUUGCAAUCAGACAAUUAAAAAAUGAAGGAUAUCAAUGUAUGUUAUAGAAAGUAUUUUGCCUUUUCAAGUGAGGAUAGUGUUGAUAAACUGACACUUCAGAGGAUGAUAGUAAAUUUCCACUGACGCAGGUUGUGAAACUAGCAAAAGCAGCAAAUGAGGCUUUAUUACGAAUAAGUCAGUUUUAAUGUUUAAAAAGCAUUCUUUUACGUGCAGAUUAUGAAACGGGUUUUCAUAAGUAUGAAUCAGAAAUGAUCCUGUACAUCUGAAAACCCAGAUUUCUAUCCAGUUAAUUUUUCCGUACCUACACUGACAAGAAUACAGAAAGCUGAUGGAACAAUAUCAUACUUUAUUUUGUUCUGUUGUGUGCUUUCAUGAACAUAUUUUAAGACAAAGAACAUCAGCAAACUAAAGGGCAGUAUGGAAAGAGUUAAAAAAUGAACACUUGUGUGCAAACUCACCACAGACAUACAGAAUGAUUUUCACUGCAGGAGACUCUCUGACCAGAUCCACACAGAGAAUACCAACAGAUGAUAAAAGGCAUAUAUAGGGCAUCCUUUCUCCUCAGUGUGAUCAAAAAGCCAUGCAUGAGAUUGUUUUUUGGGGUUUUUUUCCUCUCAGUUCCUGAGCAGGACAAGUAUAAGUGGGAAAAAAGUCAUCCUGUCAGUAAGUCAGCAGUGUUUCCCAGAGAGGCUGUGGGAAAUAAAUGAUGGAGAUUUUCACACCUGGACAGGGCAGAACAACCUUCCCUGAUCUCGUGGCUGACCCUGUUGGGACCACCAGGCUGGACUGGAAACCUCCUCAGGUCCCUUCCAGCUGGAAUUAUCCUUUGAUACUAUGGUAAUUUCUAAAGACUGUCUGCAAAAUCUCCCUAAGCAGUAGGUCUACUCUUCUUACCCCUGUAAAGUUUUCCAAAUGUCUACUGGGAAUCUCUUUUAUGAUGUAAGCCCAUUAAUGCUUUUUUUUUCCCACUACAGAUAUACACUCUCCCUUUUUGCAAUAACUUGCUAUUUCAGGAUCCCUUAGAAGUUUUUGUAUGCUUAAUUCUGUGCCAUGAAGUGCCACAUUUCAGUUUGUUCUGUCUUUUGGGCUACCGUAUGUGUCAGAUUUCUCUGAGAUUUCUGAGUAUGCUCAAAGCAUAAAGCAUAAUAAAGCAGGAGUACACUCAGCUAGCUUUAAAAAUUUUAUUUCUCUACUCUAUAUUUCACUGAUUUUCACAGCAAAAAUUUUCCUAGAGCAUUUUUUCUCCUCAUCCCAUAGUUCUUAGGCUGCAUAUUAUAUGAAUGUGCAAUGCUUAAGCUGCUUCUGAGGUGGAAUACCCAGGUUUUCCUCUCUUGCCUUUUUGCUCACAAGAAAUUAUUAAACUAUAAUUCUUAUGAUAGCUCAUGCUGUGCAGUCAUCCACAACUAAACUCUAUGACUGUUCUGAAUUUGCAUGUUUGCAGCUCUUAGGUACAGUUUUAUCCUCAGUGGAACAGCAUUCUGCUAGCUUCCUCUUGUUCCUCCUCAAUUUUUUCUACCUACUUCGUUUGGUGGAUUUGUGUCGGUUUUCUUUUUUUAUUCCUUUCUUAACAUCAUGAUCUGCUCACCCAUUUUCUUUGUUCCUCAGAGGGUUUUCCCUGUUCUAUAAACACGAACACCAGUGUGUUUUCUGAGGCUACUUUCCCUUUCCAUUCCUUGAAUUCUGGUCCCAGAAAAACAAUUUUCUUUAAUGCUUCCGGAAAAACACACUUUUAUCUGUCUUUCCUGUAUUUAAACAAGUCUCUCAGAGUGACAGUGACUGUAGCAUAGGAGAGAUAGAAGGGGUGACGCUGCCUUCUGUGAUGUACUGGAUGCACCUGAGAGCUUUCACUGAAGAACUACUCUCUUCCUCAUCUGUACCAAUAUUGUUUGGAGAAUUUUUCUUCCAUUUUUAGGCAUCGUCUGCCUGAAGCCAGGCUGGGUAGGCAGAGGUGUGACAGCUCUCCACUUUGCCUUGGGAUCAGCAGGCCCCGUUGCACUGAUUAUUCUGCCUGUCCUACGGCAAAUGAGGAUGCACAACUCUGUCACACAACACAUUGUGUAAAGACAGAUGUUUUCAGCUUACUCAGACAUUAGAAUUAGGACAGCACAGGAUGCCCUGGACAAGAAGGAUAACAAAAUCAGGGUAUGCUCAAACAACAAAAUGAAGGCAUUAGUGCAGCAUGGGUUGCCAUAGCUUAAGUCGAAGUGGCACAAGCCAGCAACAGCAUCAAAAUGCAGAAGCAAAAAUUUGGGCGUGAGAUUGCAACUGAGAUAAGGUCAUGGAGGGUCCACUAAUGCCCAUAUCUCUAGGGCAUCACUAUUCUGCUGCUGCUAGACAGGUACAAUCCCACCUAGCAAUGCAAUCGCUCCUUCUGGUGCAUUGAAGAAAUAUCUUGAAGGCUUUCCUUCAAAGGAAAGAAAUUCCUUUGGGUUGUUCUGGAUUUACUGCUACCCAGGCAAAAUUGCAACAGGCAGAUUUAGUCACGUGGUGCCAUUAUAACACUUGGGUGAGGUUAUCUUUUAAAACAGCUAAUUUUCUUAAAAACAAAUAUAGAUUCAGCAAGUUUUGCAGUUUGUCCUGCACAUACCUCUUAUAUAUCUAAAUCUGGUCUAAAAAGUAACAAAAUCCUAGAUUCUCUUCAGUUUUAGGGUUCAAUUUUUUAGUGUUUAUUU